UGCAGCGACGCCGCGUGAGGGAUGACGGCCUAUCGGGUUGUAAACCUCUUUCAGCAGGGACGAAGCGCAAGUGACGGUACCUGCAGAAGAAGCACCGGCCAACCACGUGCCAGCAGCCGCGGUAAGACGUAGGGUGCGAGCGUUGUCCGGAUUUAUUGGGCGUAAAGAGCUCGUAGGCGGCUUGUCGCGUCGACCGUGAAAACUUGGGGCUCAACCCCAAGCCUGCGGUCGAUACGGGCAGGCUAGAGUUCGGUAGGGGAGACUGGAAUUCCUGGUGUAGCGGUGAAAUGCGCAGAUAUCAGGAGGAACACCGGUGGCGAAGGCGGGUCUCUGGGCCGAUACUGACGCUGAGGAGCGAAAGCGUGGGGAGCGAACAGGAUUAGAUACCCUGGUAGUCCACGCUGUAAACGUUGGGCGCUAGGUGUGGGGGGCCUCUCCGGUUCUCUGUGCCGCAGCUAACGCAUUAAGCGCCCCGCCUGGGGAGUACGGCCGCAAGGCUAAAACUCAAAGGAAUUGACGGGGGCCCGCACAAGCGGCGGAGCAUGCGGAUUAAUUCGAUGCAACGCGAAGAACCUUACCUGGGUUUGACAUGGCCGCAAAACUUCCAGAGAUGGGAGGUCCUUCGG
rnacentral:rRNA from 1 species